GACGAGGGACCUAGCGUUGUUCGGAAUCAUUGGGCGUAAAGCGGGUGUAGGUGGACUUAUAAGUCAGGUGUGAAAUCCCAGGGCUCAACCCUGGAAUGGCCUUUGAAACUCCCAGCCUUGAGUUCGAGAGAGGUGAGUGGAAUUCCGAGUGUAGAGGUGAAAUUCGUAGAUAUUCGGAGGAACACCAGUGGCGAAGGCGGACUCACUGGCUCGACACUGACGCUGAGGUGCGAAAGCGUGGGGAGCAAACAGG
rnacentral:rRNA from 1 species